GACGAACGCUGGCGGCGUGCUUAACACAUGCAAGUCGAACGGAAAGGCCCUGCUUUUGUGGGGUGCUCGAGUGGCGAACGGGUGAGUAACACGUGAGUAACCUGCCCUUGACUUUGGGAUAACUUCAGGAAACUGGGGCUAAUACCGUAUAGGAGCUCCUGCUGCAUGGUGGGGGUUGGAAAGUUUCGGCGGUUGGGGAUGGACUCGCGGCUUAUCAGCUUGUUGGUGGGGUAGUGGCUUACCAAGGCUUUGACGGGUAGCCGGCCUGAGAGGGUGACCGGCCACAUUGGGACUGAGAUACGGACCAGACUCCUACGGGAGGCAGCAGUGGGGAAUAUUGCACAAUGGGCGGAAGCCUGAUGAAGCAACGCCGCGUGCGGGAUGACGGCCUUCGGGUUGUAAACCGCUUUCGCCUGUGACGAAGCGUGAGUGACGGUAAUGGGUAAAGAAGCACCGGCUAACUACGUG
rnacentral:rRNA from 1 species